rnacentral:misc_RNA from 1 species
AGCAGCCGCGGUAAUUCCAGCUCCAAUAGCGUAUAUUAAAGUUGUUGCAGUUAAAAGCUCGUAGUUGAAUUUCGGGAUCAAUAUGCUGGUCGUGCCAUUGGUACGUACUAGUAUUAUUGGUUUCUCCUUUCUGAUGAAUCAUGAUGUCAUUAAUUUGAUGUCAUGAGGAAUCAGGACCGUUACUUUGAAAAAUUGAGUGUUUAAAGCAGGCUCGCGCUUGAAUACAUUAGCAUGGAAUAAUGAAAUAGGAU